rfam:Crassostrea gigas strain 05x7-T-G4-1.051#20 contig4604, whole genome shotgun sequence.
UAAACGGCCAUUUUCAUGGCCACAAAAAUAUUUCGAAAAGCUGCUU